UACGGAGGGGGGCUAGCGUUGUUCGGAAUUACUGGGCGUAAAGCGCACGUAGGCGGCUUCGUAAGUUAGAGGUGAAAGCCCGGGGCUCAACUCCGGAAUUGCCUUUAAGACUGCAUCGCUAGAAUUGUGGAGAGGUAAGUGGAAUUCCGAGUGUAGAGGUGAAAUUCGUAGAUAUUCGGAAGAACACCAGUGGCGAAGGCGACUUACUGGACACAUAUUGACGCUGAGGUGCGAAAGCGUGGGGAGCAAACAGG
rnacentral:rRNA from 1 species